UCAGUCCAGCUGUGGUAGGGACAACAAAUAGGAUGCAGCUCUUUGCACUGAGAGCAUGUGGUCUUUGGGAAAUCAAAUUCUCCAUUAGAAUACUAGUACUGGAAUAAUUCAGCUCCCUGGAAAGUGAAAAUGGGAGGAAGCAUCAACCCUGGGAGGAAUUUCCAUGGGGGACUGAGGGCUGCAUUAAAGAUAUUUGGAGACAAAACAUCCUUGCUGUGAUCGUCUGUGCGCUGUGGGUCGUCUGGAUGUGGUCCUCAGUGAUUUGCCAUCCCACAGUCAGAAAAUUCACUUCCUAACACUGUGAUAAAGGGGGAAAAGAAAACCCAACUCAGGAUUUGGUGUCUGCAGCAAAGAGCCCUCCAGAUUCAAGUAUUUCCUUCUACUGGAGUAAAUUAUGUUUUAUGACUAUAAUUAACUGGGAGCUAGCACACACUGCGCUGGUUUAAAGCUGACUCAAUGCUGUCUGAGAAGCACAGUGUGAUAAAACAACAUUCAAAUCAGCUUCUUAACUAAGCUGGCAAGUGACACAAUCUGGAGACCGAUGCCAAGAGGAAGUGGAGGUUUGCAAAGCCCCAGGCACAAGGAGGGAUUUCAAGGGUUGGAAGUGUUUUGUUUAAGGAUCUGGUUUCCAAACCACAGUCCAUGGAUGGGUCGUGGCUUUGGAAAAAUAGAUGUCCCCCAGUGAGUUAUUUCUGUUGCCAAUAGUAUGUACCCAAAAGCAUUGGAGAAAUAUGCUGGUCUGUAAAGAUUGGAGGCCGCAGCUGCUGGGCAUGGGUGAAGGCAGAUGAAAUAGUGAGUGCUUUGGGUUAAAAUAUUAAGUUUUUCUGCCUAACACUAGCUCUGUGUGGAAAAUUACAAGGAUAGGUGUAUCUGGAUGGAAACCAGCUCCUAGCCUCUCUUCUAACUGCAUUUUACACUGGAUUAUGAAACAGGAAAGGGAGGAAGGAGCUGCUAUAAGAUUUGACAUUUUUGUUGAUGUCAUUAGGUAUACAGGGAGGAAAAAAAGGCACAACCAAGUCUAACAGCUGUUUGGUCUCAUCUUUAUUAUUGUGACUCCAAGAUGGAGAUAAGCAGAUCUUUCCUUAUCUUGUUUAAAUUUGCAGGGAUGUUUGGCAGUUUUUAGGCCAUUAACUGCACUUCUCAAUGUUUUGCCCAAUGCCCUCAGCAAAAGCACUAGAAAGGUCAAGGCCUUCACUUUCCAAACCAAUGUACAAGAGGUAAUGGUUUUCAGUUGCACCAGGGGAGCACCAGGUUGAAUUUUAGGAAAAAUUUCUUCUCCAAAAGAUUGGUUGGGCACCAGGGAGCUGGUGGAAUCACCAUCCAUGCAGGAGUUCUAGAGCCGUGAAGAUGUGGCAUUGAGGGACACAGUGGGCAUGGUGGGAUGGGUUGGGGUUGGACAUGGUGAUCCUAGAGGUCUUUUUCAACCUUAAUGACCUUCUGAUUCUAUGAGCUAACCCAGAAUUCAUCCCUGUGCUGCAAAGCUCCAAGCAAACAGCCAAGUGGCAUCGUUACUGAUAGGAAAACAGUGCUGAAAGCUUGAAUCACCUGAGCUAAAACAGUAGUGGGUGGGCUAAUGAGCCCUAGCACCACCCAGAGAGCACCUGUGUCUCUCCUAGCCCUAUAUCACGUUUCUCUCCUUGCCAUAUGCAGCCAUACUCUCUGCGGUGAUGUUCACAGAAGGCAUUAUCCAUUGCUUCUUGGAAAAUGUUGUGGUUUUGAAGGCUGUUUGCUUGCUGCUGAAUAUAAUUUUGUUAACUGCCACAAACCAGCAAGAAAAUUGUUUUCUUUCUACGUGAUAAAGAACAACCUAUAAAAAGACUGAAAUUGAAGUGAAACAUUUUGCUUGAGUGAAGAGGAGGAAGUUUUCAUUGGCCUGAUGGAAAACUUGCAUUUUUAUUUGUGGCUGCCUGUAACUACACCAUCGCCAGGCCAGGGGCCAGCAGGAUGGAGCGUGCCCAGCGUUCUUCAUUGCCCCCAAUGUAAAGUCUGAGUGCUCUGCAUUAGCAGCAGUAGUUUGGACCUAUCCCUUCAACUCUGCCCACCUCAGGAUGGCCGUUGUGUUCCUAUGACGCAGCCCUGGGAGGUGUAACAUUGAACGAUGGAAGUCAAGUUGAAAGAGAUCUUAAACCUGGGUUGCCACCCAGGAUAUCAGGUAGCCAUCAGUUACCCUUCCUUUGUCCACCAAUGCUAUCAUCUCCCAAAGUGGCCCAGGUGAAGAGCUGGAAGGAGCUGAAGCUGGCCUCUUCCGUUGCUCUCAUGAUGAGUCCACAACAUCCCAGGCUCUGACCAUGGGACUUCUGCACAGUGAUCCUAUAUUUGCCCAGCAGUUGCUGAGCUCUGACCUCGGCUGUGAUGUACCACAUAGUGCCAGGACCCCAGGAUGCUACCAAGCAUUGGAUUCAUAACUUCAGAGCCACACAGAUGGUGAGAGAUAACGUACAAGCAAUAAUAGAUAGCUUUGUGUCUCCAAUCAGUAUUUAUUUCCUUUUCUUCUUCCCUAAAUUGUGAGUUCCUGAAAGUGUUGUCAUGACUACUGAAGAGUGAACUUGACUCGCUUCGGCAGCCUUUGUUCCCUCCAAGUGAGCUGAUCUAAAAUUUGUCAAAACUCUCUUGUCGCUGGCUGCAAAAAUAUUGUAUCUAUUUCUUCAGAGGAGCUUCUUUUGCAAGUCUCUUUUAGCUGCACAUAAAGGGCACGGCGAGAGUCCAAGCCUGCCAUAAUGCAGUGAUUUUAAUGCCUCUGGGUGCUCUCAGUUAAUAAGUCUUGGAUUGUUCCCUCGUUUCCAGCAAUCUUUCUGUCACACAUCAAAAGCCCUAGGUUGAUCAUGAGUAAUCCUCAGGGGUACCAUGUGGCUCAAACCCAACUCUUGCUGAGAUCAGUGGACAGAAAUGAAGAGAGCAGAGCUCACCAAGCCUGGGUGAGUACGUAAAUUGCUGAUCCUCCUGCGAUGUCAGUGCAUGUGGAUAACAAGCAGGCUCCUUCCAAGGAAAGGGGAAGAGAAAAGAGAGGUGCACAUACAUAGCUGAGGGUGAACAGGGCAAGAUAUAUGUCAGGACAGCCUAAGAGAUGCAUUAUUCCUACUGCAAAAACGUUGUGGGAAAUGUUGUGUCUUCAAAUGGUAGUUUAGAUUUCUGCAGAACAGAUGAAACCCCCUUGGCAAAUUCUCUUGGAUUUAAUGGAGAUAAUAUAAGUUCAAUCUCGUUCCAUAAAAAAGAUAAGUAGAAAGAUGAAGAACAUGCCUUUACUUCAAGAUUUUCUUGUAGUGUUUCAGCUGCCUGGUGAUAUAUAUCACAUGUAUCACUUUAUAGUACACAAAGAUUUGUUUUCCUUUGGACUCCACAGCUUUCCACAGCUAUAUAUUGAUGCUAGUACUUCUCAGUUAGCUAUUGACUUAAGCAUUUUGACAGACAAAAACCAAAAAAUUUGUCAUAGUUUACUUUCUACAGGUGCCUUUUAUCUUUUUUUGCUGUCGUUUUUGUUUUUCUUCACUACGUUUCUUUGCAUUUAAGGAUUCCUGAUUCUUCCAAAACUGGGCACUCAUGGGCCCAAUAAAGCUGAUGCGUUAAAAUAGCAUCCUGCCACACUGAAGAUCUUGAGUCUUUUUCACAGUGCAUUAAUCCUGCCAGGAUCUGAGUUUUGUAAUGUAUAUCAUAGAAGCAGGCAUUCACUGACUAUUAGCUGCAUUGGGAUUGGAAAUGGCAGCUUUCUAGCGCUCUGAUGGCCUUGGAGGCUGAUGUGGCAGCACUUAAUGUGCAGGCAAAAACUUCGCUUGGAUGCCCAGCUGAAAGACAGUUCAGAAACACCCCCAGCACCAACAGCUUGCAGAGAAGAUCCAAACACUUCCAACUUCACUCCCAACUCCUCACAGGCUCAUUGUGCACACUGUGGGGACCAGUUGCUUGCCAUCACCCGUGGCAUCUGCCCUCCCUCGUUCUUCAGUGUUAGGAUGCCAUGGGAGAAAUGAGAAAAUCCUUUUUAAUCCCAGGAGAGCACUUAAUUUCAAAAAUUCUCUGUCCUCCUGGUAGUAAAAAUACCUUCUUGAAAGGUCGGUGGAAAAAUUGCACCUCUAUCAGAUGAGCACUGAGAUGGAGGGGCAAUGGUGGCCGCCAAGCCUUAGAAUGGGUUGGGUUAUAAGAGAUCUCAAGGAUCAUCUAGUUCCAACCCUCUUCUUUGCCUCAUGUUUGGAGGAACCCACAGAAACGCUGUGAAAUCACAGGAUCUGUAAAUGAUUUAGCCUUGUUUUGUGCUAAAAGAAAUAAUCAUUGAUUCUUCCCCAUGCUGGGACAUUGCACCCACGUGGGGUAGGCUGAUCUUCUGGACUCCCUCUUGUAGGUCUCAUCAUCCCUUGCUCCUUCCCUGUGUGGGAAAAUGCUAUAAUUCACCUGUCCCUAUUUCUGGAUAUAUUCUCAGACACUGAAGAUCUUGACCACUCACUGUUAAUCAAUAGAGCUGGAAAGUAGCCAUCAGCCUAUUACUGUUUCAAACUCCUUCAGAGCAAAAACUGUCUGGGAAAAUGAACGGUAGAGAUGAAAUACAUACAUUUCUCUGGUAAUAUUUCAGAGGAAAGGGCACAGCAGUAGCUUUCCUUUUUAAGCCUGUACUCUAUGUAUGAAAUAUAUUUGAGGGAUUUGGAGAAGGAAGAAAAAUUAAAAUAAUUAAGGAGCUGACAGAACUGAUUUAGAGCUGGAAGAAAGGGGCAAAGGAUUGAGAGUGUUCAAUGUGGACACGCUGCAUCAGGCCCCAUCCAAGUUCUGGUUCUGCUCCAUGGACCCACAUGCUGGAAUCUGAAUCCAGAUUCCCACGAGCUCCAACUAGAUGGGAAACCAGGCUUGGCUGCUGUGGUCUCAAAAGCCAUCAAGACCCAUUGCAAGUAGUAUUACAGACCAGGGGUUGGAGAUUUCCAGUGUUGCAGGGGCUCAAGGUCGGGUUCUGGCCCUCGAGAGAGGCUUUCAGGUGUGGUGUGCAGACACCAUUCAUAGGUGGAAGAUGUGUAAACCUCUCCACAAGUAGCUGUUGCAGCAGGGAGAUUAUUUUAGGAAGCGCAGCAGUUACUGUCAGCAUGUCUGUGCUCUAGUCAGCAGAUGGAGGAUGCAUAAUUUAAAACAGGAGUGACCAGAUUAAGGUCUUUCCAUCUGCCUUUCAAGUGCAGCAGUAGGAGGAAUCUGCUCACAUCAAAUAAAACUCAUCCAGCAGCUCUGCUUCCAAUUGGCAAGCUGUGAAAGCCCAGCUCUUCAGAAGCUCUUCCCUCCUCUGUGAAAAGGGACAAACUUGUCUUUUCCAUUUCAUGCACCUCUUCAUUCACUUUGUGCUGCUAGAUUCAGAAGCAAGAGCCCUAACUUGACAUCAGUCCUCACUUGGAUUAGGAGCCCUGCCAACAGAAAAGCAUUUGAGCAACUUUACACUGUGAUAGGCAAGAGACCUUCACAAAAAGUAACUUAAUUUCUUAAUAACUGAGUGGUUGACCAGACCUUUCUCCUUUGCAAAAGCUAAUUCUGUUACAUGCAUUUCACUGCAGAGGAGCAUUCAUUUGAUUGCACAUGAAUCAUUCCAGUGAGAUCUGACAUGAGAGCUGGCUGGACAUCAUCCACUGAAACGCUUGGAGUUUUCCCAUGGAAGACGUUGUUUUACAUCAAAGAGAGUCUGAUUCCAGAGAAAGAAAAUUGUAAUGAUUUUUUAAUGAGGAGUGUUUUAUGUGGAAGGCAUUUAAACACACAACUUAGGAAAUCUUAAAGGUCUGUUUGUAAGUAUUUUCAUAGAACUACUGAGAUUGGAAAAAACCACCGAGAUCACCAAACC